ACAGUGGACGCGAGCAUCUGUGGCCAAGUUUUUAAGGGCGCACGGUGGAUGCCUUGGCACCAGGAACCGAUGAAGGACGUGGGAGGCCACGAUAGUCCCCGGGGAGUCGUCAACCAGGCUUUGAUCCGGGGGUUUCCGAAUGGGGAAACCCGGCAGUCGUCAUGGGCUGUCACCCGCUGCUGAACUCAUAGGCAGUGUGGAGGGAACGCGGGGAAGUGAAACAUCUCAGUACCCGCAGGAAGAGAAAACAACCGUGAUUCCGGGAGUAGUGGCGAGCGAAACUGGAUGAGGCCAAACCGUAUGUGUGUGAUACCCGGCAGGGGUUGCGCAUGCGGGGUUGUGGGAUCUCUCUUCCACGGUCUGCCGGCCGUGGGACGAGUCAGAAACCGUUGAUGUAGGCGAAGGACAUGCGAAAGGUCCGGCGUAGAGGGUAAGACCCCCGUAGUCGAAACAUCAGCGGCUCGUUUGAGAGACACCCAAGUAGCACGGGGCCCGAGAAAUCCCGUGUGAAUCUGGCGGGACCACCCGCUAAGCCUAAAUAUUCCCUGGUGACCGAUAGCGGAUAGUACCGUGAGGGAAUGGUGAAAAGUACCGCGGGAGCGGAGUGAAAUAGUACCUGAAACCGUGUGCCUACAAGCCGUGGGAGCGUCGCGCAUCGAGCUUGCUCGGUGCGUCGUGACUGCGUGCCUUUUGAAGAAUGAGCCUGCGAGUUAGCGGUGUGUAGCGAGGUUAACCCGUGUGGGGAAGCCGUAGCGAAAGCGAGUCCGAACAGGGCGUUU
rnacentral:rRNA from 1 species